UCUGACACAGGUGCUGCAUGGCUGUCGUCAGCUCGUGUCGUGAGAUGUUGGGUUAAGUCCCGUAACGAGCGCAACCCUUGUCCUUAGUUACCAGCACGUUAUGGUGGGCACUCUAAGGAGGACUGCCGGUGGACAAACCGGAACGGAAGGUGGGGAGUGACGUCAAGUCAUCAUGGCCCUUACGGCCUGGGCUACACACGUGCUACAAUGGUCGGUACAAAGGGUUGCCAAGCCGCGAGGUGGAGCUAAUCCCAUAAAACCGAUCGUAGUCCGGAUCGCAGUCUGCAACUCGACUGCGUGAAGUCGGAAUCGCUAGUAAUCGUGAAUCAGAAUGUCACGGUGAAUACGUUCCCGGGCCUU
rnacentral:rRNA from 1 species